ACACAGGAGAGCGUCCAGUGUGU
rnacentral:siRNA from 1 species